rnacentral:misc_RNA from 1 species
CAUUAUCAAACCAUUUCAAUUUUAUUGAUAUGGUAUUGGACUUGGGAUUUGCUGGUAUUCAUUAUCAGCUAUCCUUAAAUGCAUUAGCAGAAUUGAAUAGGUUCGCAUUGACGUGAUAAUUAUCUACGCCAUUCGUUCUUACAAGUCUGCUUCUAAUAAUUUGAAUUGGGA